UACGUAGGCAGCGAGCGUUGUUCGGAGUUACUGGGCGUAAAGGGUGUGUAGGCGGCUGUUUAAGUUUGGUGUGAAAUCUCCCGGCUCAACUGGGAGGGUGCGCCGAAUACUGAAUGACUUGGAGUGCGGGAGAGGUGAGUGGAAUUCCUGGUGUAGCGGUGAAAUGCGUAGAUAUCAGGAGGAACACCGGUGGUGUAGACGGCUCACUGGACCGUAACUGACGCUGAGACACGAAAGCGUGGGUAGCAAACAGG
rnacentral:rRNA from 1 species